GCGGAGCCAGGACUUCCGGCGCCUGGGCGCCACUUCCUGCUGCUCCCUGCGAUUGGCUCGGCCUCCUCUCCUCCGAAGGCCUGCGCCAUGGCGGCGGUCCCGGGGGCGCUGAGCUCGGUGCCGGAGGUGGAGAUCGACCCGGAGGGCACCUUCAAGUACAUCCUGGUGCGGGUCCAGGGCAGCGGCGCCGAGGGGCAGCGGGACAUCGUUCGGGGCACCGCAGCCGCCGAGUUCCACAAUCACAUAUUGAAAAAGUAAAUCUAAAUGGAAAAGCUGGGGUUACUGCAAAUGUCUUGGAGGAGGAAAAAUAGAGCAUAUAGCAAAGAACAGAAAAUCCAUGUAUUUGGUCUUUCUACAAGAGACUUCCCAUACCAAGUCCCCCCCUCUUCAUUUUCUCAAGCAUGGCUUACUGCCAUUACUAUAAUGCAGAAGACUAUAAAGCAUGGUAAAGAAUGGAGAGAAGAAGUUGAUCCAAUUUAUGGUAUUAUUAUUAUUAUUAUUAUUAUUAUUAUUAUUAUUAUUAUUAUUAUGCGUUAUUUAUAUAGCGCUGUAGAUUUACACAGCGCUGUACAUACAAACAAUAAAAUGGAUAAAGUAAACCUGCCCAUGAUGAUAUGACCUUUAUUAUUAAUUAAAUACAUCAGAGUUGGGAAUCAUGCCUUCCCAAUGAUGUCAGACUGGUAUUCCCAGCAGUUUUCACCACUGGCUGUGUUGGAGUAGAAGAUCAAAACUGUUUGGAGAAUUACUUGGUUCCUGACACUAAAAUCCAUUGCAAGUGGGCUUG